rnacentral:rRNA from 1 species
GAUGAACGCUGGCGGCGUGCCUAAUACAUGCAAGUCGAGCGAACAGACGAGGAGCUUGCUCCUCUGACGUUAGCGGCGGACGGGUGAGUAACACGUGGAUAACCUACCUAUAAGACUGGGAUAACUUCGGGAAACCGGAGCUAAUACCGGAUAAUAUAUUGAACCGCAUGGUUCAAUAGUGAAAGACGGUUUUGCUGUCACUUAUAGAUGGAUCCGCGCCGCAUUAGCUAGUUGGUAAGGUAACGGCUUACCAAGGCAACGAUGCGUAGCCGACCUGAGAGGGUGAUCGGCCACACUGGAAUUGAGACACGGUCCAGAUUCCUACGGGAGGCGGCGGUAGGGAAUCUUCGGCAAUGGGCGAAAGCUUGCCGAGCAACGCCGCGUGAGUGAUGAAGGUCUUCGGAUCGUAAAACUCUGUUAUUAGGGAAGAACAAAUGUGUAAGUAACUAUGCACGUCUUGACGGUACCUAAUCAGAAAGCCACGGCUAACUACGUG